rnacentral:rRNA from 1 species
CCUACGGGAGGCAGCAGUAAGGAAUAUUGGACAAUGGUCGCAAGACUGAUCCAGCCAUGCCGCGUGCAGGAUGACGGCCCUAUGGGUUGUAAACUGCUUUUAUACGGGAAAAAACCUCUCUACGUGUAGAGAGCUGAUUGUACUGUAAGAAUAAGGAUCGGCUAACUCCGUGCCAGCAGCCGCGGUAAUACGGAGGAUCCAAGCGUUAUCCGGAUUCAUUGGGUUUAAAGGGUGCGUAGGCGGAAUGAUAAGUCAGUGGUGAAAGCCUGUUGCUCAACAACAGAACUGCCAUUGAUACUGUCAAUCUUGAGUACAUUUGAUGUGGGCGGAAUGUGUCAUGUAGCGGUGAAAUGCUUAGAUAUGACACAGAACACCGAUUGCGAAGGCAGCUCACAAAACUGUAACUGACGCUGAGGCACGAAAGCGUGGGUAUCAAACAGGAUUAGAUACCCUGGUAGUCCACGCUGUAAACUAUNAUACUCUAUGUUGUGAUACACUAGUAAGUACGUCUAGACGAAGACGAGUAAGUAAUACCUACCCGUACGGGUAGGUACGGCCCGGCCGACCGGUACGGAAACGUAACGAAAGUUAAGUUAAGUUAGUUACGGACGGNGGAGGACGACGCCGACGGACGACGACGACGGGACGGGAGGGAGG